rnacentral:rRNA from 1 species
UACCAGCACCUCAAGUGGUCAGGAUGAUUAUUGGGCCUAAAGCAUCCGUAGCCGGCUCUGUAAGUUUUCGGUUAAAUCUGUACGCUCAACGUACAGGCUGCCGGGAAUACUGCAGAGCUAGGGAGUGGGAGAGGUAGACGGUACUCGAUAGGAAGGGGUAAAAUCCUUUGAUCUAUUGAUGACCACCUGUGGCGAAGGCGCUCUACUGGAUCAUUACUGACACUCAGAGGCGAAAGCUAGGGUAGCAAAAGGG